CUGUAUUAGUUUGUUCUCACACUGCUAAUAAAGACACACAUGAGACUGGGUAAUGUAUAAAGGAAAGAGGUUUAAUUGACUCACAGUUCCACAUGGCUGAGGAGGCAUCACAAUCAUGGCUGAAGGUGAAUGAGGAGCAAAGUCACGUCUUAUAUGGUGGCAGGCAAGAGUGUGUGUGCAGGGGAACUCCCCUUAAUAAAAC
rnacentral:lncRNA from 1 species